AUGUGGUUUUUAAUAUCUUUUCUUUUCUGCAAUUCUUAUGAUGCUGGACUGAUCCAACUCCAUUAUGUACAAAUUAAUUCCUUACUUGCACCCUUCAUUCAGAAAUCAGGUUCUAGAGUUACUGAGAAAGAGUAUAUGUACAUCACCAACUCAUUUUCAGUUGGACAUUUCAUUUUUCAGAAUUAUUGUUUGUUUAAUAAUGCUGCAGGUUUUCCAUCGACAGAUUCCAGUUGGUGUCACAAAGGAUAUAUGCUCAUUGGAUUUGUUGAUGUUGAAGCAUCAGUGAGAUCACAUGAAUGCGGAAUCAGGGUGCUUAUGAGAUCACAUGAAUGA
rnacentral:rRNA from 1 species